AGCUAGUUAUAAUUGCUGGUAGCACUCAUAAUGCUGGGGUCGGCGGUUCGACUCCGCCCCUUGCUACCA
rnacentral:tRNA from 1 species